rnacentral:misc_RNA from 1 species
GAUGAAGAACGUAGCGAAAUGCGAUAAGUAAUGUGAAUUGCAGAAUUCAGUGAAUCAUCGAAUCUUUGAACGCACCUUGCGCCCUUUGGCCAUUCCGAAGGGCAUGCCUGUUUGAGUAUCAUGAACACCUCAACUCUUUAUGGUUUUCCAUGAUGAGCUUGGACUCUGGGGGUUUUGCUGGCUCACAGUCGGCUCCUCUAAAAUGAAUCAGCUUACCAGUGUUUGGUGGGUAUCAUGGGUGUGAUAACUAUCUACGCUUGUGGUUUUUCCACCAGGUAACCUUCAGCAGUGGAGGUUCGCUGGAGCUCAUAGAUGUCUCUCCUCAGUGAGGACAGCCCUUUGAAUUUUUGAUCUCAAAUCAGGUAGGACUACCCGCUGAACUUAAGCAUAUCAAUAAGCGGAGGA